GACGAACGCUGGCGGCGUGCUUAACACAUGCAAGUCGAGCGGAAAGGCCCUGCUUUUGUGGGGUGCUCGAGUGGCGAACGGGUGAGUAACACGUGAGUAACCUGCCCUUGACUUUGGGAUAACUUCAGGAAACUGGGGCUAAUACCGGAUAGGAGCUCCUGCUGCAUGGUGGGGGUUGGAAAGUUUCGGCGGUUGGGGAUGGACUCGCGGCUUAUCAGCUUGUUGGUGGGGUAGUGGCUUACCAAGGCUUUGACGGGUAGCCGGCCUGAGAGGGUGACCGGCCACAUUGGGACUGAGACACGGCCCAGACUCCUACGGGAGGCAGCAGUGGGGAAUAUUGCACAAUGGGCGGAAGCCUGAUGCAGCAACGCCGCGUGCGGGAUGACGGCCUUCGGGUUGUAAACCGCUUUCGCCUGUGACGAAGCGUGAGUGACGGUAAUGGGUAAAGAAGCACCGGCUAACUACGUG
rnacentral:rRNA from 1 species